rnacentral:misc_RNA from 1 species
GAUGAAGAACGUAGCGAAAUGCGAUAAGUAAUGUGAAUUGCAGAAUUCAGUGAAUCAUCGAAUCUUUGAACGCACAUUGCGCCCGCCAGUAUUCUGGCGGGCAUGCCUGUUCGAGCGUCAUUACAACCCUCAGGCCCCCGGGCCUGGCGUUGGGGAUCGGCGGAAGCCCCCUGCGGGCACAACGCCGUCCCCCAAAUACAGUGGCGGUCCCGCCGCAGCUUCCAUUGCGUAGUAGCUAACACCUCGCACCUGGAGAGCGGCGCGGCCACGCCGUAAAACACCCAACUUCUGAAUGUUGACCUCGAAUCAGGUAGGAAUACCCGCUGAACUUAAGCAUAUCAAUAAGCGGAGGA